CCUGCAUGGUGUUUCUUUGUUUCCUCAUGGUUGUCCAAACUUUUGGGGUUGCUUGUCCUUGGGUUUUUUUGCGUUAUUCUGUGACCAGCAGAGGUUCCUUUAUUGUUCGUCUGUAAGCGUCGGUGUGUGGGGAGGGAGAGGGUACAACAGUGGCUCCUUCUCCUGGGAGGGAGUGAGCAGUGGCGCACUGAUGUCUCAGUCAGGCUUGGAGGUGCCUGUUGCAGAGGGCGCCGGUGGCUCAGGCAUAAACAGAAAGUCUUAGAGUUGGGCCUCUCUUGGGGGUUUUUUUCUUUUCUUUUCUUUUCUUUUUUUUUUUUUUUCUCUUGGCAGCCUCCCUGCUGCUGGCGUUGCAAGGGGUUUUAAUCUAGCCCCACCCGAGUGCCUGAGGGUACUUGUUAUCCCUGAGCGCCUUAGGUGGCCCGCAGGGCGUCUCUCCACUGCCUGUUGCAGAGGCGCGGAAAGAGAGAGAGAGGCUAUGCGCGUGGCUCCUCCCAGCCGCCAUUGAGCCUGCAGCCUCCAGCCGCCAUCAUGGCCGGGCAGCUCUCAGGAACGGGCACUCCUCUCCGCGGGCCUCCUCCCUCCUGUCCUCUCGGUCCGGCAACAAUGUUUCCCACACUGAACCAGCUCUCCUGCUCCCACACUCCCGCUCCUGGACCCUCCGUUCAGCCGCGGAUCGAUGUCUUGGUCCGGGAACGCUGAGCUGCGCGGCGGACCCUCUGAAUGUUUCUCACUCCCUCCCGUCUGCCACAGCUCCGCCACUUCACCCUCUUUGAGCCCUCGUAGAUGCCUCCCUACCGGCUAUGUCGGGCUCCCCGCAGUCCCAUCCGGUGUCCGAGGCCGUCUGCUGGUGUUCAGCUGGUUCUCUGUGAGAAUUACUGCGUCCUUCCGUGCAUUCCCAAUGCAUCUGUGGGGAGGGAUGCACUCCACGUCUCUCUACUUCGCCGCCAUCUUUAAGACCUAUGGGGCAACUUUAAAAGGUGGGUUGCUUGAAGUCCCCUCUCUCACACGGCAGACAGUAAUGCAAUGCGUGGAGAAGAAACCUCCAAACUAAUUAUGUAGAGAAAAGAGGAAUGAGGUAGAAAAAACACCUAGUACAAUUAAAAAAUAAACAUUACAUACAGAAACUGGAUGUGUAGAAAAAACCAGAUAAGAUGACAGAACUAAUUCCAAAUACAUGGGUAAUGACCAUAAAUAAAAAUGGACUAAACCUGCCAAGUAAAAGACAAACAUUACACUGGAUUAGAAAACUAGUCCAGGGAAUACUGUUUAUAGCAGACACAAUUGAAAUAUAAGGACACAAAGGCUGAAGUUAAAAACAUGGACAUUUUACACGGCAACUCAGCUAAUGUCUUUAAAAUGUUAGUGUUGUCAAGGAGAAAAAUUGAGGGUGUGUAUAAAGUGUCCCAGACUGAAAGAUGUGUCAGAGACAAAACAACUAAAUGUGAAAAACAUGUACAAAAGCAAUUUGGGAUCACGGGAAAUUUGAAUAUUGACUGGCUAUUUAAGAAUAUUAAGAAAUUAUGAAUUUUAUUGUGUGAUAAUGGUAUGAGAUUUAUGUAAAACACAUGAACUAAUUUAAAAAUAGAUGCAGAUAAAGCAAAUAUGACAAAAAUAAGCUUUUAAUCUAUGCAUUGGGUAUAUGGGUGGCCACUGUACUAGUCUAUCUAGUACUUUUUGUAUAUUAAACAUUUUACAUAGUAUACAUCUUAAAAAUACCUAAAAUUUGAACUUAAAAAUUUAAAGAAAAUGAAACUUGAAAUUGUUUCAAUAAAUUAAUAUUUUUUAAAUUAAAUAAGAAAGAUAUGCUAGGCAAGUGCUAACUAACAAUGGAUUAAUUAGUUAAUACUAAUUAACAAAAAGCUGUUAUAACUAUAUUGAUAUCAGAAAAUACAGGCUUUAAGCCAAAAAUGAUUACUAGACAGAAAGAAGAUAAAAAGUGUAUCGUAAUAAGAAAUAUAUUUGGUCUUUGUCCUUGGUUCUUGGCCAGAGCUCCUAAAACCCUUGGAAAUUCCUGAGUGAUAGGCAUCUUUUUUUGCUAUUCCUAAGGAGCACCUUUUGGUCAACCUGAGUUUGUCCUAAUGAGGUGACUUAGUGUGGGGACCCUAAGAUAGCCUUAGGAUGGGGCUGGUCAUCAGAAAGAGGAAGGAAUUAGCGGGUUGGAACUUUCAGGCUCCUGAUCUCUAAGAAGGGGAGGUGAGGGGCGGGGGCACUGAAAGCUAAGUUCUAUACAAACUCUUGAACAAGGAGACUUGAUGAGCUUCCUGGGUGGUGAACAUGUCGAGGUGUCGGGAGAGUAGGUGCCUGAUGAGGGUGUGGAAGCUCCUUGCAUCCCUCUGCCCCCACACCUUGCCCUAUGCAUGUCUUCCAUUUGGUUGUUCCUGAGUUGUAUCCAUUAUAAUAAACCAGUAAACAUAAUUAAAAUGCCUUCCUGAGUUUUGUGUAGCAAAUUAUUGAACCUUAGGAGAGGUUGUGGGAAUCCUGACUUUUAACCCAUUGACAGAAGUACAGGUGGCCUGGGUCCUGCGAAUGGUGAAAGGAUCUGUAGGUGAAGGAGGGCACAUUUAGGGCACUUAAACUCUGAGAUCUGUGCCAGCUCCCAGGGGUUAGUGUCAAAAUUGAACUGAAUUGUUGAAACCCAGUUGGUGUCUGGAAAAUCAGAGAAUUAAUUACUGGUGUUAGAAAAUGCUCCAAAAAGUUUCUGAAAAAAGUUUAAACUCACUAGGAAGGUAUAAUAAUUCUAAAAUUGUUUGUACCUAAUAAAAGUCUUAAAAUAAAUAGUGAAAAUUUUGGCCUUUUGCAAGGAGAAAAAUGACAAAUUCACCAUGAAAGUGGGAGACCUAAUACACCUCUGUCAGGAACUGGUAAAUCAAGGAGACACAGAAGUCAGUAAAGAUACAGAAAAUUUGAAAAACUUAACAACAAGCUGAUUUAAUGAACACACAUAGUACAGUUGUCGAAUACAGAUUCUUUCUGACCACACACAGAGGAACUCUCAUUAAAACUGACCAGGUCCUUGGCCUUGAGGCACGUCUCAACAAAUUUCAAGGGACUGGUAACAGAGGUCAUCUUUUCCAACCAUAAUGCAAUUAAGUUAGAAAUCAAUCAAGAGAUAGCUAGAAAAACCCUAUCCUUUUAGAAAUUUUACAACACAUUGUUAGAUAAAUUAUAAGUCAGAGAAGAAAACAUGAUGGAAACUAGAAAAUAUUUAGAACUGGAUGGUACCGAAAAUACUGGAGAUCAGUAUUUGUGUCAUUCUGUUAAAGGGAUACCUAGAAAGAAAUUUGUAGCAUGAAUUCUUACAUUAAGAAAGAGAAAGGUGCAAAUUAAUGAGGUAAUCAUACAAUUUUGGAAGGUAGAAAGACAUCAUACAGAUGGCCAAUAGGUAUGUGAAAAGAUGCUAAACAUGAAUAAUCAUCAGGGCAAUGCAAAUCAAACCUACAAAGAAAUAUCACCUCAUGGCUAUUUUCAAAAAGACAGGAAAUAACAAGUGUUGGUGAGGAUGUGGAGCAAAGACAACCCGCCUCCACUGCGGGUGGGAAUGUAAAUUGGUGCAGCCAGUAUGGAAACCAGCAUGAAAUUUCCUCAAAAAAUUAAAAAUAGAACUACCAUAUGAUCAUGCCAUCCCCUUCUGGGUAUGGUAUUUAUACAAAGAGAAGGAAAACAUAACUUGACAAGCUAUGUGCAGCCCCAUGUUUGUCACAGCAUCGUUUACAACAGCCAAGAUAUGGAAACAACCCAGGUGCCCAUCAGUGGGUAAAUGGAUAAGGAAAUUGUGGUAUGUAUAGAGAACGGAAUAUUAUUCAGUCAUAAGAAAGACUGAAAUCUUGCCAUUUGUGACAACAUGAAUAGACCUUGAGGGCAUUAUGCUAAGUGAAAUAAGUCAGACAGAGAAAUACAAAUACUGUAUGAUCUUACUUAUAUAUGGAAUCUUAAAAAAAAUCAUGCUUGUAGAUACAGAGAACAGAUUGGUGGUUGUCAGAGGUGGGGCUGGGGGUGGGCGAGAUGGGUGAACGGGGACAAAAGGUACAAGCUUCCAGUCAUAAGAUAAAUAAGUCACGGGGAUGUAAUGUACAACAGGGUCACUGUAGUUAAUAAUACUGUAUUGCAUAUUUGAAAGUAGCUAGGACAUAUAUCUUAAAAGGGCUCAUCACAAGAAAAAAAUUUUUGUAACUAUGUAUGAUGACAGAUGUUAACUAGACUUACUGUGGUGAUCAUUUUGGAAUAUAUGCAAAUAUUAUAUCAUUAUGUUGUGUUCCUGAUACUAAGAUAAUGUUGUAUGUCAAUUAUACCUGAAAACAAAAAGGCUGAAAAAAAAAAGGAGAAAGAGACAGAAGGAAAAAAAUAGGAAGAAAGUAAAAAGCUAUGAAGCAAAAGAAAUGAAUCAAAAUAAGCAUAUAAAAGAGAAUGCACAAGUCAAAAUGGGAUAUAAUGACAAAUGCUAAGGAGAUCAAACAACAAGAAAUAUCAAUAAAUAACUUCACGACAAUAAGUUGGACUAUUUGGAUGGAAUUAAUAUAUUCUAAGAAAAACGUUAUCAAAAUUGAACCAAGAAUAAGUAAAAAAAAAUCUGAACAGUCCUAUUAUCACUAAAGGAAUUAAAUCAGUAGUUAAAAUUUGUCCCACAAAGAAGUGGCAUGCCUGGAUGGUUUUACAGAUGAGUUUUUACCAAAUAUUCAAGCAAUACAUGAAUGAGAUCUCUAUGGAGAAAAUAUAGAAGGAUAUUGAUGGAAACCUAGUCAUUGGACAGAGACACAGUAUUCAUGGAUGGGAAACCUCAAUAUCAUAAAUAUGUCAGUUUCUUUCCAAAAUUCAACUCUAGAUUCAAUGCAAUUCCAAACCAAAUUCAAGCAGGGGCCUUCCUAAAAUUUGCAAUCGGAUUCUAAAGUGGACCUAGAAAAGGUAAAGAGGCAAGAUUUGCUUUUUCAUUGCCAAGAAGAAACACCAGGCAGGGAGACUUGCACUAGCAAAUAUCAAGAUUCACUAUAAAUUAUUAUUGUGAUCAAGAUAGUGCAUUUUUGGUGCAGGGAUGGUUAAACUGACGAAUGCGAUGGAGUAGAACCUCUAAAACAGAACCACAAAUACAUGAAACCUUAAUUUACAACAAAGGUGACACUGCAGAUCAGUGAGGAAGGAUGAACUAUUCAGGGUUGGCAGUUUUUGUGAAGGCCCAGGAAGUAAAUAUUUCCAAGCCACAAAGCAACCCAACUAUUCAACUCUGCUGUUGUAGCAGGAAAGCCACCAUAGACAAUUCAUGUCUAUAUAGUGUAAUACACGGUGUGUAUCUAAUAAAACUGUAUUUGUAAAAAAUAAAAACAUAGCUUUAUCUAUGUACACUGAGAAUUAACUUUCAUAUACUUUUCAUGGGUCAUGAAAUAUUAACUUUUGAUUUUUUUUCAACCAUCUAAAAACGCAAAAACCAAUCUUAGCUGCCGGGCUGUAUGAAAACAGGGGAAGGGCUGGAUCUGGCCUGUGGGCUAUAGUUUGCUGACCCUCAAACAAUCAAUGGUACUCAAGCAACUGCAUAAUCAUAUAGACUUUGCUCUGUACAGAAAAAGUCAGUUUGGGGAGGAUUUCAGACUUAAACGUGAAAGGCAAUGUAUUAGUUGCAGUUCUCCAGAUAAACAGAACCAACAGGAUAUAGAUGGAUAGAUAGAUGCAGGGACAGAUGGGUAGAUAGAUAGAUGCAAGAGGAGAUUUAUUACAGGAAUUGGUUCACGUGGUUAUGGAGGCUGAGAAGUUCCACAGUCUUCCCUUUGCAAGCACAGAACAGAAAGCUAGUGAUGUAAUUCAGUUCAAGUCCAAAGGCCUGAGAACCAAGGGAGCCGAUGGUCAAAGUCCCAGUUCUUGGCUGAAGGCCUGAGAAUGUGGAGGGUGGGUUGCUGAUGUAAGUCCUGGAGUCUAAAGGUCAGAGAACCAGGAACUCUGAUGUCGGAGAGCAGGAAAAGAUGGACCUCCCAGCUCAAGUAGAGAGAGAGAUUGUCCUUCCUUCACCUUCUUUGUUCUGUUCAGACCUUCUGUGGAUGGGAUGAUGCUCAUUGUCAACCCAAAUAAACCUAGGAGGCAACAAUCAGGCAGAAAGCAGUUAUUUGGGAUCAAAGAACGGCAAUGCAGGGCACCCAUUUGGGUAGUGACCUAAACAGUGUCCUAUCAGGGAGUAAAAGUCAGGGGGUUUUUAAAGAGAAAAAAGUCAGGGGGGUUUUUUAAGACAAAGAAGAAGACAAAUUGCAAAAAAAUUUAAUGGGAGCAGGAUGCAGAAGCUGGUUAUGGCUGAACAGGAUUGCUUAAGGCUAUGACUAGAGCCAGGUAAAAGUCUGUUGCUCUGAUAGGUUGCAGGUAUUUUUGCAGAGUCCUUGAAAUAUUUGUGGUUUUACCCAGUACAAAAGUUCAGAUUCCAUCCAGGGAGGGUAAGGGUAAGGUCCACCUCCUUAAUGGCUGCCUGGUUCCAUUUAAAAACCCCUUGACAUAAGUGAUUCCAGUUUCUUAUUUCACACCGCCCACAUUGGUGAGAGCAGAUCUUUACUCAGCCUACUAAUUCAAAUGCUCAGUCUUGUCUGGACUCAACCUUACAGACACACUCAGAGAUGACGGUUUAUCAGCUAUCUGAGCAUAACUUAGCCAAGACAAGUCAACUCAAAAUUCACCAUCACAGGCAAAAGUACAAAAUUUUUAGAAGGAAACACAGAAGAACAUCUUUAUGACCUUUCUGUAGUUCAUAAGAAGAAAAUAAUAGAGGGAAAAAAAAGCACAAGAAGGUAAAUUUGAUUCCAUCAAAUAAGAAUGAUAAAGUAGGGACUUCCUAGGUGGCGCAGUGGUUAAGAAUCCACCUGCCAAUGCAGGGUACAUGGGUUCGAUCCCUGCUCCAGGAAGAUCCCACAUGCCGCAUAGCAACUAAGCCUGUGCACCACAACUGUUGAGUCUGUGCCCUAGAGCCCAUGAACCACAACUAUUGAGCCCAUGUGCCACAACUACUGAAGCCCGUGUGCCUAGAGCCCGUGCUCCACAACAAGAGAAGCCAUCAAGAUGAGGAGCCCACACACCACAGUGAAGAGUAGCCCCUGCUUUCUGAAACUAGAGAAAGCCUGUGUACAGCAAUGAAGACCCAACACAGCCAGUAAGUAAAUGAGUGAAUGAAUGAAUGAAUGAAUUAAAAAAAAGAAUAAUAAAGUAAAUGAAAAGACUAGCAAUACUUGGGAGAAGAUAUUUUUAACACAAAAGCUGACAAAGGAUUAGUAUUCAGUAUAUAUAAAGAACUCAUACAAAUCAAUAAAGAAGAGACAACCCAACAGAAAAGUGGGUACUUAUACUAACGGGCGUUUCACAGAGGAGUGAAUACAAACGUCCAAUAAACACACGACAAAAUGGGACACCUCAUAAGUAAUUAUACAAAUGUGAAUUAAAAGGUCCUAUAUUACAGCUACUAUGUUAAUAAUAUUUAAAUGUUGAGCAGUUACACCUCUGGGCUACAAUGCAGCACUCUGGUGACCCUUUAGUGAGUGAUAACUUGUAUUUAGUGGGUCAUAGUCAAUAUUUUAAAAAUCAUUCAGUGAAACAGAACGAUAGAGAAUAGGCUUUGUCAGAGUGAAUCGUGUUUUUUGGUAAAGGUUUUGGUAAGACGUUUACUCAUACACCUCAAGUGUAUAUAUAUCCUGAUGCAUUAUAAAGUGUCUUUCUCUCUGUGGGUCUUGGUCAAAUAGGGUGGAAAGCCUCCGCUAGGGGAAGAGCCUCCAGGUGCUCCAGGAGGCUUGUGUGAGGACGCUCCUGGCUGUUAUGUCAGUAACAGUGACACCCUGGGAGCACACCCCAUGUCACUGAUGUGAGACAGGAGAGCGAACUGUGCUGCCUUCUACAGAGGGAAGACCAUGAACCACGAAUGAACAACGGCUGCAGCCAUCAACACGGAACCCAAUCGUGAGCAAACAUCAUCAAGCUGCAGAAGCAAGAAAAUGUGCAUAGGAACUGAGCAUGAUUCUUUUCUGGAAAAUCUCAAGGAAAGAUGCUGGCUAGAGUCUCCCAGAGAGCAAAGGCAAGAGGAAUGGUGUGGAGAGAGAAGUCUGAUGGUGCCAACAUCUUUCCUGAGGGCGGGCACAGAGCCCUCUGCCUCCCAUGCCUUCCCAAAUCUCCCAGGGAAGCUGACCCUCUUGACCUCCCCCACCUCCCACUUCAGCAUCCCUCUCCUGACCUCCUACUGCCUCCCCCAUUCCCACCCUGGCCACUUAUUUCAAAGAACCUAGCCACCGCAGCCACUCCCAAUACCACCCAACAACCCUGGAUCCCACCUGCACAAGCCUCUCACACACACACACUCACACCACAACUUACCCAUCCCAAGCUCCAUUUCGUCCAUGCCCUCCCAGAGAGCUGAAAGCCAUGGUAGGACUACUUUCUACAAAAAUGCCAAUGGCUUUAAAAGAGACUGAAUGCAAAUGUUGUUUGGGACAGCACCUCAGAUGGGACGAAAUGCUGAAAACAGAAUUCAAUGUGGCAAAUUUCAGGCCCCAGGGUGGCUAUUGAAAUAGACUGGGGCUGGGGGCCUUCCACCCAAACCUGCGGGGAGACUGAUAGGAGUGUCCAGUGAUGACCUUGGCGGCUCUCCAGGUGCCCUGGCCGUGAGGACAAUGGUCCUUUCCCUGCAACAGACGAGAUCUCCAGGUGCCCUCAGCAUUGCUGUCCCCCGGCAAGUGGCUCCCCUGAGUGCCUGUCCUCUGACCCCAGGGAGCACAGGGUCUCACCCUGGCGGAUAGCUCCGGGGUGCGUCCCGUCGGCUGGCAGCCCUGAGAGUUCCCUUCCUCCUCCCAUGUCCCUGUUGUCUCAGGUCUCAACCCCCUUCAGAAUAUUCUGGUUAUUCUCAGACUUAGAGAACAAACUUACGGUUACCAGCGGGGAAGGCUGGCGAGGAGGGAUAGAUUGGGAGUUUGGGAUUGACAUGUACACACUGCUAUAUUUACAAUCAAAUGUCUUUCUAUGAAAAAAAAAUAGCACAUUCUAGUGAUUCUGGUGGAUGCACACAGAGGGAAACACCCAGGCAUCCACGAGGCAGAAGGGACAACGUUGAGGACUUCCCUGUGACCUGCCAGCUCUCCCACAGUUCCCAGAGAAGGAGCGGACAUGCGCAAAAGUGACAGAAUGACGUCCAAAGGGCAACCUGAGGCAUACUACGCAGUCCCCAGGAUUGCUGUUUCUCCAGCACCAAUCACAGUGUUCUUAAACGUUCUUUGAGCUAAAAAUCAGGAAUAGUUUGGGAUAUAUGCACGCGCUCAAGUCCUAAAAACAAGUUUUGCUGAGACCAGGAUUGUCCAGAGAUUAUGAGCUUAUUAUGAAAAAAUAAAGUAUGUUUUUAUUACUUAUAUAUACAUAUAGAUUUUUCACAUUUUAGCAGAAUCCAGUUCAUGGAAGUCACUCCAGAGGGCAGGGUGCUGGAGCCAGUCCAGCAGAUAUUUAAGCUUCAUAGCAACACACAUCUACUGGAUGGUAACCUUUAUAAUGAUGGCUUCAAUUUUUUAAAUUUUCAUAUCAAAAUUUUCCUCACAAUCGCAGAGAAUAAUUGUUUUUCAUCUGUUUGUUAAUAAAUGUAUUAACGAAUAAACAACUAUUUAUUGAGCGCCUACAGUAAGCCAGGCAUCAUGAGUGAUGCUGUGGUUUGAUGAUAACAAGCUUGGACAGUCCCAGCUCUUGGGGUACCCACAGUUGUAGCCGGGAGUGGGAUAUUAAUAAAAUAACCACAUGGAUCAGUGUUCAAUGGUAACUGUGAGAAUCGCCAUGAAGGGCAGAUACAUGGACACUUGAGACUCUAAACGGGGAUGUGACCUGGUCCCGCAGACCAGACACACCCUGCCCAUGACGCUGGAACAGUAGAUCCUGGACAGGACAUGAGGUCUGGGGAGGUGAGCCUGAGACUACAAGCAAGAAAGCCUCCUCCUCUAUCUGUCAUCUGGUUAUUGGGCCUGGACUCUGCUUAGAGCAGCAGAGGCCUUUGAGCCAAAGGGAGCCUUGAAGCAAGGUAGGCAUGGACCUUUCUGGAACCCCCAAAUGGAGGCUGACCUUUCAGCCUGGGAAUCGGAGCAAGGCCCCCUUUGCAAAACUGGGGAGAAGAUAGAGAGAUUUCCCGUACGUCCCCUGUCAGCCACCCGACAUGCACAGGCUUCCCCACUAUCAACAUGCCUGGCCAAGACGGGACAUUUCUGUGACACCUGAUGAAGCUACACAGACACAUCGUGAACACGGAAACUCCAUAGUUUACCUUAUGGUUCACUCUCGGUGUUGUACAUUCUACGGAUUUGGACAUGUAUGAUGACAUGUAUCUGCCAUUAUCGUGUCAUACAGAGUCGUUUCACUGACCUCACAGUUGAGGUGGGUAGUUCUCAGCACUCAAGGCAGGGGCAGCUGAGCCAUGGCAGUUUGAGCAGGAGAGAUAGUGUCAUCCCAUCUGGCAGUGCCAGAGGGGCGAGGACUAGACCUCAGGCAGGAUCCUGUGUGCUCGUCCCUCCCUCCCCGCAUCUCCAGCAGCCAGUGAGGGGCCUGCCUUGGAACAGGAGCAAAGCAAUUUACAGGGAGAGGGCUGGAGGCUCUGCGGGGCCAGGACUCCUGCCCAGCUCCUCUGCUUUCUCAUCCCAAGGUGCCCCAUCAGCCAGGACAGGGCCAGAGAUGGUCUCCAUCUGGAGAACAGGUAGGGACUAUUCACUCUAUCCCUAAAUGUCCCCGGAUGUCUAAGACCACGGCCAGGGCACUGACCACAGCAGCUGUAGAAAGGCUAAACGUCUGCUGUGUCUCUGCUUGGAAAGGAAAUGGGGCUGGAUGCAGGCACAGAGCAGACACAGCAAGGCUAGAUGACUCCUCCCCACACUUCCUGUGAAAUCUGACACACCUCUUCCCAGAACUGGUUGAUUUUCAGGAAUGGCAGGAGUCUGGCUUGUUCCCUUCCAGCUGCACACCAGCUAAGGAGCCUGCCCCCCACUGAACCUUCUCUCAUUCAGAAACAGUGGGCUACUUGGGAGAGGAGAUUUCAGACUCAGAAUACUGAAAUGCAAGCGCACUUUAUAAGGCAAAACAAAUGCCCUGGGGGUGGAGAAGGCACCAAACCCCAGUGGCUGAGGCAGAGGAGGUGGGAUGCACUCAUGGCCAAUGUCUAGGGUCCCCCCGCCUCAGCCCCCACCUCAGCUCCCUCCCCUUGACCCCCAAAACACCCACCACUCCUCCCCACGGAGGUGCCUGGCCCUCACGGCCCCGAAUGCAGAGAGGAGGCUCACUCUGUCCAAAGACCUGGUGGUCCUGCAGGAAACGGGACUUUUAAACAACAAAUACACUUUCCCAUGAAACCUUCUCAGGACAGGCUCUGGCAGCCCGACUGAGGCCUUCUUCAGAUGGGAGCUGCCCUCCCACCACAGGGUCAGUGAUGGGACGUUUCAGGGGACUCACUGGAGCCGUUGCGAAGCCAGGGCUGAGUCUGCGUUCUGCUGCUCUUACGUGACCUUGUAUGUCAAAGUUGAGAAUUUCGCUUUCACUUUCCUUCUGACACUAUUUUAAAGCUAUUAAGCACUAAAUGUUUUUAUAGGGACACUAAAGAUUUGCUUUUACUGGGAAGGUCAAUUACUAUGAACCUCAACACACGGAGUCACCGGGGCUUAAAGUCACCAGGGAGCAGUCAGAGUAGGAGGGAGUCCUAUUAAUUUGCUCUGCUUAAGAAACCCAAGAUCUCUCCCAAGAAAAACCUGGACAACUGUCCCUACUCCAGGAAGGGGGGCACUUAGAGGCACAGAGGUGCCACCCCCCA